UAAUACAUGCAAGUCGAACGAGUACGCACUUCGGUGCAAUGUAUGAGUGGCGAACGGGUGAGUAACACGUGAGAAACCUGCCUCGGAGACCGGGACAACCAUUGGAAACGAUGGCUAAUACCGGAUGUCCUUUUACGGUCGCAUGACUGUUUGAGGAAAUGAUCCGUCGCUCCGGGAGGGUCUCGCGGCCUAUCAGCUUGUUGGUGAGGUAAUGGCUCACCAAGGCAUCGACGGGUAGCUGGUCUGAGAGGACCAUCAGCCACACUGGGGACUGAGACACGGGCCCAGACUCCUACGGGAGGCAGCAGUAGGGAAUCUUGCACAAUGGGCGAAAGCCUGAUGCAGCGACGCCGCGUGGGGGAUGAAGGCUUUCGGGUUGUAAACCCCUUUCAGUAGGGACGAAAAUGACGGUACCUACAGAAGAAGCUCCGGCCAACUACGUGCCAGCAGCCGCGGUAACACGUAGGGAGCAAGCGUUGUCCGGAUUUAUUGGGCGUAAAGAGCUCGUAGGUGGUUCGGUAAGUCGGAUGUGAAAACUCAAGGCUCAACCUUGAGACGCCAUCCGAUACUGCUGUGACUUGAGUUCGGUAGAGGAGUGUGGAAUUCCUGGUGUAGCGGUGAAAUGCGCAGAUAUCAGGAGGAACACCAACAGCGAAGGCAGCACUCUGGGCCGAUACUGACACUGAGGAGCGAAAGCAUGGGGAGCAAACAGGAUUAGAUACCCUGGUAGUCCAUGCCGUAAACGUUGGGCACUAGGUGUGGGGAUUUAUCAACGAUCUCCGCGCCGUCGCUAACGCAUUAAGUGCCCCGCCUGGGGAGUACGGCCGCAAGGCUAAAACUCAAAGGAAUUGACGGGGGCCCGCACAAGCGGCGGAGCAUGUUGCUUAAUUCGAGGCAACGCGAAGAACCUUACCUGGGUUUGACAUUUAGGGAAAAGCUAUAGAGAUAUGGUGUCCUUCGGGGCCCUAAACAGGUGGUGCAUGGGCUGUCGUCAGCUCGUGUCGUGAGAUGUUGGGUUAAGUCCCGCAACGAGCGCAACCCCUGUCCUAUGUUGCCAGCACGUAAAGGUGGGGACUCAUGGGAGACUGCCCGGCGUCAAGUCGGAGGAAGGUGGGGACGACGUCAAGUCAUCAUGCCCCUUAUGUCCAGGGCUGCAAACAUGCUACAAUGGCCGGUACAACGGGCAGCGACACUGCGAAGUGAAGCGAAUCCCUUAAAGCCGGUCUCAGUUCGGAUUGAAGUCUGCAACUCGACUUCAUGAAGCGGAGUCGCUAGUAAUCCCGGAUCAGCAACGCCGGGGUGAAUACGUUCCCGGGCCUUGUACACACCGCCCGUCACACCACGAAAGUCGGUAACACCCGAAGUCAGUGGCCCAACUCGUAAGAGGGGGAGCUGCCGAAGGUGGGAUCGGUGAUUGGGGUG
rnacentral:rRNA from 1 species